rnacentral:rRNA from 1 species
UGGAGGGAAGGUGGGGAUGACGUCAAGUCAUCAUGGCCCUUACGGCCUGGGCUACACACGUGCUACAAUGGUCGGUACAGAGGGUCGCCAAGCCGCGAGGUGGAGCUAAUCUCACAAAACCGAUCGUAGUCCGGAUCGCAGUCUGCAACUCGACUGCGUGAAGUCGGAAUCGCUAGUAAUCGCGAAUCAGAAUGUCGCGGUGAAUACGUUCCCGGGCCUUGUACACACCGCCCGUCACACCAUGGGAGUGGGUUGCACCAGAAGUAG